rnacentral:lncRNA from 1 species
AAGGAGUCUGCUGUACAAGCUGUCACUGCCGGAGACACAGGAGUGUUACAGCAGAAGCUGUUCCACCACAAAGCUUCACCGCCACUGGAGAGGUCGUCAUUAUGUACAGAAGCUCCGGGAGGUCUGUGUUGUAUAAAGAGAGGGGAGAAGUGUGAGUCUCUGGGUAUUAACCCAUUAUUAAUGGUGACUGGUGCCUGGCAGCACGACGCAGCACGACUGAUUCUGAGAGAGAGAGGCAUCUGUCAGACAACACAGGUCAUCACUGAUGAACAGUUAACAUCAGUCACAUGGUGUCAAUAACCCCGCAGCACUAACACCCAGUGUACCUACAUAAUACAUGAUAUAUGUUGGAGUUUAAAUACGCACACAGGCGUAUAGCUAACCCCACAGUGAGCCAACGGGUUAGUGAUUCUUUAAACUCUACAACUUUGCACAAUUAUUGUUUACAAAUGUAAUGGUAAUAUAUAAAUAUUAUGUUCAUAUGACUUAAAUGUUCAUGUUUACCUUGUUCAGUGUUGUUGUCCUUGUUCUUGGCU